CAGCAGCCGCGGGAAUACGUAGGUGGCAAGCGUUGUCCGGAAUUAUUGGGCGUAAAGGGCUCGCAGGCGGUUUCUUAAGUCUGAUGUGAAAGCCCCCGGCUCAACCGGGGAGGGUCAUUGGAAACUGGGAAACUUGAGUGCAGAAGAGGAGAGUGGAAUUCCACGUGUAGCGGUGAAAUGCGUAGAGAUGUGGAGGAACACCAGUGGCGAAGGCGACUCUCUGGUCUGUAAUUGACGCUGAGGAGCGAAAGCGUGGGGAGCGAACAGGAUUAGAUACCCCAGUAGUCCCUGUCUCUUAUAC
rnacentral:rRNA from 1 species